CCUACGGGGGGCAGCAGUGAGGAAUAUUGGUCAAUGGGCGCGAGCCUGAACCAGCCACGUAGCGUGAAGGAUGACUGCCCUACGGGUUGUAAACUUCUUUUAUAAAGGAAUAAAGUGAGGCACGUGUGCCUUUUUGUAUGUACUUUAUGAAUACGGAUCGGCUAACUCCGUGCCAGCAGCCGCGGUAAUACGGAGGAUCCGAGCGUUAUCAGGAUUUAUUGGGUUUAAAGGGAGCGUAGAUGGGUUUUUAAGUCAGUUGUGAAAGUUUGCGGCUCAACCGUAAAAUUGCAAUUGCUACUGGCAGCCGUGAGGAUAGUUGAGGUAGGCGGAAUUCGUGGUGUAGCGGUGAAAUGCUUAGAUAUCACGAAGAACUCCGAUUGCGAAGGCAGCCUACUAAACUGCCACUGACAUUGAUGCUCGAAAGUGUGGGUAUCAAACAGGAGUAGAUACCCCUGUAGUC
rnacentral:rRNA from 1 species